GUCUGGAUAGCUCAGUUGGUUAGAACAUGGUGCUGAUAACGCCAAGGCUGCAAGUUCGAUUCCCUGUGUGGGACA